GCCAUAGUUCAGUGGUAGAGCAUUUGACUUGCAUGCAGAAGGUCCCAGGUUCAAUCCCCAACAACUCCA